rnacentral:rRNA from 1 species
CCUACGGGUGGCAGCAGUGGGGAAUAUUGCACAAUGGGGGAAACCCUGAUGCAGCGACGCCGCGUGAGUGAAGAAGUAUCUCGGUAUGUAAAGCUCUAUCAGCAGGGAAGAAAAUGACAGUACCUGACCAAGAAGCACCGGCUAACUACGUGCCAGCAGCCGCGGUAAUACGUAGGGGGCAAGCAUUAUCCGGAUUUACUGGGUGGAAAGGGAGCGUAGACGGUUAUGUAAGUAUGGAGUGAAAGCCCGGGGCCCAACCCCGGGACUGCUUUGGAAACUGUGUAACUGGAGUGCAGGAGGGGCAGGCGGAAUUCCUGGUGUAGCGGUGAAAUGCGUAGAUAUCAGGAGGAACACCAGAGGCGAAGGCGGCCAGCUGGACUGAAACUGACGUUGAGGCUCGAAAGCGUGGGGAGCAAACAGGAUUAGAUACCCUUGUAGUC